rnacentral:rRNA from 1 species
GAUGAACGCUGGCGGCGUGCCUAAUACAUGCAAGUCGAGCGAACAGACGUGGUUCUUGUUCCUCUGAGGUUAGUGACGGACGAGUGAGUACCACGUGGAUAGCCUCCCUAUAAGACUGGGAUAACUUCGGGCAACUGGAGCUAAUAGCAGAUAAUAUAAUGAACCCCAUGGUGCAAUAGUGUAUGACGGGUUUGCUGUCACUUAAAGAUCGUACCGAGCCGCAUUAGCUUGGUGGUAAGGUAACGGCUUACCAAGGCAACGAUGCGUAGCUGACCCGCGAGAGUGAUCGGCCCCACUGGAACUGGAACACGGGCCAGACUGCUACGGGAGGCAGCAGUAGGGUAUUUUCCGAGAUGGGCGAAAGCCUGACGGAGCAACGCCGCGUGAGUGAAGAAGGUCUUCGGGCGUGAAAGCUCUGGUAUUAGGGAUGGAGAACUGUGUUACUAACAGAGCACGUAAUGACGGUACCUGAGCAAAAAGCCACGGCUAACUCCGUG